rnacentral:rRNA from 1 species
GGGCCCGCACAAGCAGCGGAGCAUGUGGUUUAAUUCGACGCAACGCGAAGAACCUUACCAGGUCUUGACAUCGAGGUAAAGCGGUGGAGACACCGUGUGGAUUCGUCCGACCGAAGACAGGUGGUGCAUGGUUGUCGUCAGCUCGUGUCGUGAGAUGUUGGGUUAAGUCCCGCAACGAGCGCAACCCUUAUUAUCAGUUACUAACGGGGAAAGCCGAGGACUCUGAUGAGACUGCCGGGGACAACUCGGAGGAAGGUGGGGACGACGUCAAAUCAUCAUGCCCCUUAUGACCUGGGCUACACACGUGCUACAAUGGUGGCAACAAAGAGGAGCGAGCCCGUAAGGGGGAGCGGAUCUCAAAAAAGCCAUCUCAGUUCGGAUUGUGGGCUGCAACCCGCCCACAUGAAGUUGGAGUUGCUAGUAAUCGCGAAUCAGCAUGUCGCGGUGAAUACGUUCCCGGGCCUU